GUUCCGGUGGCCGAGUGGUUAAGGCGUUGGACUCGAAAUCCAAUUGGAUCUUCCCGCGCAGGUUCGAAUCCUGCCCGCAACG
rfam:Nematostella vectensis strain CH2 x CH6 NEMVEscaffold_275_Cont21957, whole genome shotgun sequence.